ACUCCUACGGGAGGCAGCAGUGGGGAAUAUUGCACAAUGGGCGCAAGCCUGAUGCAGCCAUGCCGCGUGUAUGAAGAAGGCCUUCGGGUUGUAAAGUACUUUCAGCGGGGAGGAAGGCAAUACGGUUAAUAACCGUGUUGAUUGACGUUACCCGCAGAAGAAGCACCGGCUAACUCCGUGCCAGCAGCCGCGGUAAUACGGAGGGUGCAAGCGUUAAUCGGAAUUACUGGGCGUAAAGCGCACGCAGGCGGUCUGUCAAGUCGGAUGUGAAAUCCCCGGGCUCAACCUGGGAACUGCAUUCGAUACUGGCAGGCUUGAGUCUUGUAGAGGGGGGUAGAAUUCCAGGUGUAGCGGUGAAAUGCGUAGAGAUCUGGAGGAAUACCGGUGGCGAAGGCGGCCCCCUGGACAAAGACUGACGCUCAGGUGCGAAAGCGUGGGGAGCAAACAGGAUUAGAAACCCUGGUAGUCCCAUG
rnacentral:rRNA from 1 species